UACAGAGGUCCCGAGCGUUGUUCGGAUUCAUUGGGCGUAAAGGGUGCGUAGGCGGCGGGGCAAGUCUGAUGUGAAAUCCCGGGGCUCAACCCCCGGAACUGCAUUGGAUACUGCCUUGCUUGAGUACUGGAGAGGGAACUGGAAUUUACGGUGUAGCAGUGAAAUGCGUAGAGAUCGUAAGGAAGGCCAGUGGCGAAGGCGAGUUCCUGGACAGUUACUGACGCUGAGGUGCGAGAGCGUGGGGAGCGAACCGG
rnacentral:rRNA from 1 species